rnacentral:rRNA from 1 species
GUCGAACGCGAAAGUCCCGCAAGGGAUUAGUAGAGUGGCAAACGGGUGAGUAACACGUGGGUGACCUGCCCUCGAGCGGGGGAUAACGUCCCGAAAGGGACGCUAAUACCGCAUGACAUCCUGCCUUUGAACAGGCGGAGAUCAAAGCUGGGGAUCGCAAGACCUAGCACUCGAAGAGGGGCCCGCGCCUGAUUAGCUAGUUGGUGAGGUAAUGGCUCACCAAGGCUACGAUCAGUAUCCGGCCUGAGAGGGCGGACGGACACACUGGGACUGAGACACGGCCCAGACUCCUACGGGAGGCAGCAGUGGGGAAUUGUUCGCAAUGGGCGCAAGCCUGACGACGCAACGCCGCGUGGAGGAUGAAGACCUUCGGGUCGUAAACUCCUUUCGAUCGAGACGAAUGGCCUCCGGGUGAACAAUCCGGAGGAGUGACGGUACCGAGAGAAGAAGCCCCGGCUAACUCCGUGCCAGCAGCCGCGGUGAUACGGGGGGGGCAAGCGUUGUUCGGAAUUACUGGGCGUAAAGGGCUCGUAGGCGGCCAACUAAGUCAGACGUGAAAUCCCUCGGCUUAACCGGGGAACUGCAUCUGAUACUGGAUGGCUUGAGUUCGGGAGAGGGAUGCGGAAUUCCAGGUGUAGCGGUGAAAUGCGUAGAUAUCUGGAGGAACACCGGUGGCGAAGGCGGCAUCCUGGACCGACACUGACGCUGAGGAGCGAAAGCCAGGGGAG